GACGAACGCUGGCGGCGUGCUUAACACAUGCAAGUCGAACGGUAAGGCCCUUCGGGGUACACGAGUGGCGAACGGGUGAGUAACACGUGGGUGAUCUGCCCUGCACUUCGGGACAAGCCUGGGAAACUGGGUCUAAUACCGGAUAGGACCACUGCCUGCAUGGGUGGUGGUGGAAAGCUUUUGCGGUGUGGGAUGGGCCCGCGGCCUAUCAGCUUGUUGGUGGGGUGAUGGCCUACCAAGGCGACGACGGGUAGCCGGCCUGGGAGGGUGACCGGCCACACUGGGACUGGGAUACGGCCCAGACUCCUACGGGAGGCAGCAGUGGGGAAUAUUGCACAAUGGGCGCAAGCCUGAUGCAGCGACGCCGCGUGAGGGAUGACGGCCUUCGGGUUGUAAACCUCUUUCAGCACCGACGAAGCGCAAGUGACGGUAGGUGCAGAAGAAGGACCGGCCAACUACGUGCCAGCCGCCGCAGUAA
rnacentral:rRNA from 1 species